GCAUGUCAUUAGUUAAUGUAAAAUCAAAAGCCAAUAACCAAUAAAUUCAGCAACUCAAAUAACACUUGACCUACAUGUGAUAUUUAGCAAACCAUCUUCACAAUGCCUCCCAUUCACCAAGAUUGCUAUACGCAAUAACAGAGGCAAGGGCCAGGCUUUUGUUUUGUAUGUCUGUUCCAUUGUGGAGAUUUAGCUCAGUUGGAGGGUGAAUUGGUCUGAUGAGCACACUAAAUAAAUAACGGACCAUUACUUUGCUACUUUGGAUAUAUUAAGUCAGAAACUGACAUCUCAAAUGUAAUAUUCUGGCAGUGUUUCCUUGAAGGGGCCUGAAGAAACACUGAAUCAGCCUGAGAGUGUCCAUGAAGCGUGUUCACAGCAUCUUAUGAACUUUGGACCCACGAUCGGCCAGGAGCGCACAUAAUUGAGGAAGGUUCUGCUGAAGAAGAGCACAAUGGAGAGUUCUACAACCUUGAUCUACUCAUUUCUACUGCUGAACAACCUGCCAUUGUUUUUUACCACAACAGUUCAAGUUCCUUUAACAGGCUUUUCAUUCACUAUUUAUAACCAAGAUCCAAUGGGUACCUUUUAUCCUUCCUUAGACUCCAAUAGUACUACCAAUGUCACAGUUGCAGAUUGUCUAAUUGACAACAAGAUGGCAAUGGUAGCUAUUGGCUCAGCUGUGGGGGUAAUCCUUUGUCUGCUAGUCUCUACCCUGGUACUGGCAUGUCAAGUACGCUGCCUACAGAAACGGAUAGGUGCCCUUCGGCCUUCACACAGCAAAAUGGACUUGGUGAGCAGUUCAGACUACUGGGGUUCUAGCCCACCUGAAGCAGGAGGGCUGGAGGGGCCAUGUGAUGCUAGCAUAGUGCUUGAAGAGAUGAGGCCAUUCAUCGAGAUUGAUACUACAGAGGACAAGGUGAACACACAACGGGAGAAAGAGCUUGAGCAAGGUGGAAAAAGGGCAGCAUGUGACCCUGAAGUGGCCGAGCAAAUGCAGAUAUCCAGCAUGAGUGAUGCACGUCGGGAUUCCAAGGAUCUAGAGAACACACCUUUGGUAGUUUAAAUGGGUUGUGUAGAUCAACAUUGAAAAUGCUUAACCACACAAACCAAGAUAAGAUUGCAACUGCUUAUGAAAUCAUGACCUUGAUCUUAAUUUAAAAAAGUAUGCGUUUCUCUCAGCCUCCUUCCCUUACAUGGCUAAGCCACUACUCUGGCAGCUAAUUUUAGCUUACUCAAUGUUAAAGUUUACUACCUUUUUUCAGUAUAGAAACAUUCAAAUUAUACAGAAAUAUAACUCUUUACAUAGAAAUCCAUGUAAAACCAAUUGUGACGACUAAUGCAAACUAAUUCAUUUGUGGAUUUGCUUAUAUUCCAUAGAGCAGUGGUUCUCAAACUUAUUCUUUAAAAAAAAAUAGAUAUAUAUUUAUUAAUAUAUAUAUUAUAUACAUUAUUAAAUAUAUCGGAAUAGUAUAUUCCGAUAUAUUUUUUAAGCCCUGUACCCCCUUCACCAGCACAAAACAUUUUUGGGAGAAUUUUUUUACAUUAAAAGUGCACAAUUUAGUGAGAACAUGCAACUUGCUUCAUCCAACUGUUGGCUAAUUUCUCCCCACAAAAGAAGCACAUCUCCAGGGUAGGGUCAGAGCAUGUAGAGGGGAAUCCCAUUGAAAUAUAUUCUUCCUGAAAUUGACAUGUUGGUGUUUCUGGAUGUGUGACCAACACAACAUUGGAUACAGUCAAGAUAUAAACUGCUCUUUCCUGUAGGCCAGGACUACGUGUUAUGAUGAAAUGAGAUGAAUUUAUAUUAUAAAAUCUUUAUUCAAUUAUGGAAUUGAAAAUAAAAUGAGUUCUAUGUGCCUACUUAGUUUACAGGUCCUGGCUCAUUGUCAAGUGGAAUUGUGAUUGUUUUGAACAUAGCAAAAUGUUGGUAUUCAUCUGCAAUUCUUUUGAAAUAAAAAGUCUUUACAUAACUUUUAA